AAGUCGUAACAAAGGUCUCCGUAGGUGAACCUGCGAGGAUCAUUACCGAGAGAGGCGCCCCGCGCGCCCGACCUCCCAAACCCUCUGUCGACCGUACCGCGUUGCCUCGGGCGCCUCGCGGGCGCCCCAGAGGACACAAUCGAAACUCUGCAUCUCAUGCGUCGGAGUCAUUAUGUGAAUCGAUCAAAACUUUCAACAACGGAUCUCUUGGUUCUGGCAUCGAUGAAGAACGCAGCGAAAUGCGAUAAGUAAUGUGAAUUGCAGAAUUCAGUGAAUCAUCGAAUCUUUGAACGCACAUUGCGCCCUUUGGCAUUCCGAAGGCAUGCCCGUUCGAGCGUCAUUACACCACUCGAGCCUGGCUCGGUAUUGGGCGGCGGGGACCCCCGCGCCUCUAAUUUGUCGGCUGGACGGUUCGAAUCUCAGCGUUGUGGUUUCAUCAGGAUCGCUGACGAGGACGACCGGACGCGCCGUUAAACCCCACCACAGGUUGACCUCGGAUCAGGUAGGGAUACCCGCUGAACUUAA
rnacentral:rRNA from 1 species